UACGAAGGGGGCGAGCGUUGUUCGGAAUUACUGGGCGUAAAGGGCGCGCAGGCGGCCUUAGAAGUCAGAUGUGAAAGCCCCGGGCUCAACCUGGGAAUGGCAUUUGAUACUCUGAGGCUGGAGUACGGGAGAGGAGAGUGGAAUUCCCAGUGUAGAGGUGAAAUUCGUAGAUAUUGGGAAGAACACCGGUGGCGAAGGCGGCUCUCUGGACCGUAACUGACGCUGAGGCGCGAAAAGCGUGGGGAGCAAACAGG
rnacentral:rRNA from 1 species